UACGUAGGCAGCGAGCGUUGUUCGGAGUUACUGGGCGUAAAGGGUGUGUAGGCGGUUGUUUAAGUUUGGUGUGAAAUCUCCCGGCUCAACUGGGAGGGUGCGCCGAAUACUGAAUGACUUGGAGUGCGGGAGAGGAGAGUGGAAUUCCUGGUGUAGCGGUGAAAUGCGUAGAUAUCAGGAGGAACACCUGUGGUGUAGACGGCUCUCUGGACCGUAACUGACGCUGAGACACGAAAGCGUGGGUAGCAAACAGG
rnacentral:rRNA from 1 species